rnacentral:misc_RNA from 1 species
GAAUGCUCUAAAAAUGGUCUUAUUCACUUUAGAGUGCAUGGCAAGGGGUGGUAUCCAUGAUCAUGUUGGUGGUGGUUUUCACAGAUACAGUGUAGAUGAAUGCUGGCAUGUUCCACAUUUCGAGAAAAUGCUAUAUGAUCAAGGUCAACUUGUUAAUGUCUAUCUGGAUGCCUUUUGUAUUACAAAGGAUGUGUAUUAUUCAAGUUUGUCUCGUGAUAUACUUGACUACCUGAGAAGGGAUAUGAUUGGUCCAAGUGGUGAAAUAUUUUCGGCUGAAGAUGCUGAUAGUUAUGAAUCUGAAGGUGCCUCACGGAAAAAGGAGGGUGCUUUCUAUGUCUGGACUAGUACUGAGGUCGACAACAUAGUAGGCGAGCAUGCAACACUCAUCAAAAAUCACUACUAUAUAAAACCCUCAGGUAAUUGUGAUCUUUCAAGAAAGAGUGAUCCACAUAAUGAAUUCAAGGACAAGAACGUGCUAAUAGAAAGAAGUACUACUUCUGCACUGGCAUCAAAACAUGCUUUGCCUGUUGAGGAGUAUCUUGAUAUCCUAGGGAAUGCUCGCCUAAAACUUUUUGAUGUGAGGUCGAAACGUCCCCGACCGCAUCUGGAUGAUAAGGUUAUUGUAUCAUGGAAUGGACUAGUGAUUUCAUCUCUGGCCAGGGCGUCAAAAAUCCUGAAGGGAGAACCAGAGGGAACAAGAUUUUACUUUCCAGUAACUGGCACCAAUCCCAAGGAGUACAUGGAUGUCGCUGAGAAAGCAACAUAUUUUAUUAGGAAACACCUUUAUAAUGAACAGACGCGCAGGCUCCAGCAUAGCUUCAGGAAUGGUCCCUCCAAAGCGCCUGGAUUUCUAGAUGAUUAUGCAUUUCUAAUAGCAGGUCUACUGGAUCUUUAUGAAUUCGGCGGUUCAGUCUUCUGGUUGGGUUGGGCACUAGAACUUCAGGAGAUACAGGACGAGUUAUUUCUCGACAAAACCGGAGGAGGUUACUUUAACACAACUGGUGAAGAUCCUUCUGUUCUUCUACGUGUGAAAGAAGAUCAUGAUGGGGCUGAGCCUUCAGGGAAUUCCGUUUCUGUGAUUAAUCUAGUGAGAUUGGCCUCUAUGGUUGCUGGUGAAAAAUCAAAACUUUACAGAGAGACCGGAGAACAUGUCCUGGCGGUUUUUGAGAAGAGGUUGAAAGAAGCAGCUGUUGCUGUGCCACUGAUGUGCUGUGCAGCAGAUAUGCUGGCUAUUCCGUCCAGAAAGCAAGUAGUUAUAGUCGGAGUGAAGUCUUCUGAGGAGUUUGAAAGCAUGGUUACCGCUGCUCAUGCAGCAUAUGAUCCUAACAAGACGGUGAUCCAUAUCGAUCCCAAGGAUGCAGAAGAUGUGGCAUUUUGGGAAGAAACUAAUAGAAAUAUUGCUCUGAUGGCGAAAAACAAUGCUGCUGCGGACAAAGUGGUAGCCCUUGUUUGCCAAAACUUCACAUGUAGCCCUCCAGUCAGUGACCCGAAAGCUCUUGAAUCGUUGCUCUCGCAGUAGAUAAACUUCUAAAAGCAGUUCAAGAGUGUACAUAAAGUGACGAAAAACUGGAGAGGCGGAGAUCAGUCUUGAAUCGUUGCUCUCGCAGUAGAUAAACUUCUAAAAGCAGUUCAAGAGUGUACAUAAAGUGACGAAAAACUGGAGAGGCGGAGAUCAGUCUUGAAUCGUUGCUCUCGCAGUACUAAAAGUAGUUCAAGAGUGUGUACAUAAAGUGGUGAAAAGCUGGAGAGACGGAGAUCCGUCGUUGGUUAUGCGUAGCAAUAAGGCUCUGUAUGGUGGUUCUGAGUUCUUGUGGAUCAACUGAUCAUUAUACUGUAGUUCAUUAGUUCAAAGUAAUGUAGAUGAGAGCUAGAAAUUAAGUUCACUUUUUGAGUUUAAUGAAUGCUUACACUUGUAUAGUUAGGUCAAUCCUGGUAUUGGAGAAUAUUUAUAAGUUUAUUUUUAACAUUAAUAGUUGGAAUAAAU